rnacentral:tRNA from 1 species
GUACCUGUAGCUCAGUUGGAUAGAGCGUUGGAUUGCGGUUCCAAAGGUCGGGGGUUCGACUCCCUCCAGGUACACCA